AACGACUCUCGGCAACGGAUAUCUCGGCUCUCGCAUCGAUGAAGAACGUAGCGAAAUGCGAUACUUGGUGUGAAUUGCAGAAUCCCGUGAACCAUCGAGUCUUUGAACGCAAGUUGCGCCCGAGGCUUCUGGCCGAGGGCACGUCUGCCUGGGCGU
rnacentral:rRNA from 1 species